CAAUUCCUAGAAAGAAAAGAAUUCUGGACUUGCACGUCAUAGCCUUCCUGUGGAGCAAACCAUGCAGUUUCUAAAUUUUAUCAUCAAUACAAAGCACAUGCUACUUGGAAAAUCUCACUGAAAGAUGGGAGAGAGAAGAAAUCCUUUCCUCCUGAGCAUGUAAUGUGAAACUGCUAAGGUGCAUGUGAAGCAGACCUAGAAAACACCCUCUUUCCAUCGCAGAACUACAAGGAUGAGUAUUUGUGUCCAUACUUUA